rnacentral:misc_RNA from 1 species
UCCCCGUUACCGGGGCAGUUUAGCUAGAGAAAUUCAACUAACUAAAGGGGUUGCGCUCGUUGAUGGACUUAACCAAACAUCUCACGACACGAGCUGACGACGGCCAUGCAGCACCUGUCACUGCGGCCCGAAGGCACAUUUUCCUUUCGGAAAACUUGGCAGGAUGUCAAACCUUGGUAAGGUUCUUCGCUUAUCAUCGAAUUAAACAACACGCUCCACCGCUUGUGCGGGUCCCCGUCAAUUCCUUUAUGUUUUAGUCUUGCGACCGUACUCCACAGGCGGGAUGCUUAACGCGUUAGCUUCGCUACUACGAGGGUCGAUACUCAUAACAGCUAGCAUCCAUCGUUUACGGCGUGGACUAC